ensembl:lncRNA
CAGGACCCCGAGCACCAGGACCCCGAGCACCAGGACCGCAAAAACCAGGACCCCGAGCACCAGGACCCGAACACCAGGACCCGAACACCAGGAGCCCGAGCACCAGGACCCGAACACCAGGACCCCGAGCACCAGGACCCCGAGCACCAGGACCCCGAGCACCAGGACCCGAACACCAGGAGCCCGAACACCAGGACCCGAACACCAGGGACCCGAACACCAGGACCCCGAGCACCAGGAACUUGAGCACCAGGACCCAAGCACCAGGAGCCGAGCACCAGGACCCCGAGCACCAGGAACUCGAGCACCAGGACCCGAACACCAGGACCCCGAGCACCAGGAACCGAGCACCAGGAACCCGAGCACCAGGACCCCGAGCACCAGGACCCGAACACCAGAACUUUCCUCACGCAAAUACUGAUAUACCUUUUAGACUCACUGCCUUUCAAUACACAUUACUCUGAGACACUACUCCUGCUUCUGAGCCACCUGUCUGUCUGUCUGUCUAAUUAACUGUCUGUCUAUCUAUCUAUCUAUCUAUCUAUAUAACCAUCUGUCUGUCUGUCUAUCUUAUCUGUCUAACUGUCUGUUUGUUUAUCUCAUCUGUCUGUCUGAAUUAUCUGUCUGUUUUGUCGAUCUCUCUAUCUGGUCAAGUUACUCAAUAGUCCAUCAUGCACUCUGUGGUCACAUGACCCGAUGACAUCAUGUAGACAUGUUCAGAGUGUUAAAGGUUUGUCCUUUUAAUUCUUCAUUCUUUAAGUGAAUAUCUCUUUUCUUUCUUCAUCAUUCCGGCGGUUGUUUAUUCCUGUAUCCUCUGUGGAGCGCCUCGCCCGAGUGCCGCACCUCGUCCUGCACACUGAGGCAUUUUGCGUGCACUAUUUAGGGCAAAUUCUCACACAGCUGAUACACCUUCUACAGACUAUCAGCUGUGUGUGACUGCAGAGAGACACCAAACAUUACCACAACAACAACAACACAACACACGCUCUAACGGGUUUCCACCUACAGCAGAGUGUAGAUGUGUGUCUGUUACUGUAAAAAAUAACGAAACGCCCUCGCUUUCUUUCACUGAGUCGGUGUCGCCCCCUAAUGGUAAACGAGUGUCAUUACUCCGUUAUUAGCGUGUUAACAAUAUACAUAAAAAAAGAGAGAAAAGAACAGAAAAGCUGUUCACACUGAUUUUGAGUAAUGAUUAUAGUCCUGAUUAAGGGCAGUUGUUCAGUUUUCAGUAACUACACAAGAGUAAUAAAGGAGUGAGGGUGAGACAGACCUCAGAGAAAUGCUUAAGCUGGAAUUUGUUUUAUCUGUAACUUUGCAGUAAAAAGUAGUUCCGGUUCCGGUAAACAUUCUGCUAACUACUGUAUGUGUUUCACAUUAAUGGAGUUCGAAUGAAUGAGGAGUAAACUUUUUUUAAGUACAUGUAAAUGUAUGGGAAUUCGGAGGGAACAGACGCAGUGAAACUGAUGUGGAGUAUUCCUUUAACUCUGGUGACUGCACGGGUGUUUAUACUGCAAACAAUUCCGAAUUGUACUGUAAAUAUAGAGUAUACACACACACACUCUCUCUCUCUCUCUCUAACUAAAAUAACAGUCAUCCCUGGAAAUAAAGCCAUCAGACUUUUGAUUGCUCAGAGAUUGUUUCCUCUUUAAUCAGACUGUUUCUACUCACACAUACAGUGUGUAACCUAAUCAGAGACCUUCUCCUGAGUGGAUCAGACAAAGAUCUGUCAAGCUCUUUGAAUUCCAUGUUCACUGAUUACAUUACUACUUCUCAAGCCCACUAGAUCAUUAGAAGUCAGACAUCUAACUAGUAGACCGUCAGCUACAUUGCGUAUAGUUCGUAAAUAUUAAAAACGCUGUCUGUGGUGCUGUUAUAGGAAAAUAAUGAACAACAGGGUGGUGUGAUGAAGCGGAGUUACUGUCACCACUCUGAAGUUUAUUAUUAUUUUACUAUAAUAACAGCAUGUCCCCACGGGUUUUAGUCCUCUUAUACAGCAGCAACUUGCCAACGAUGGCAGUUUUUUUACUUGCUAGACCCAACUUUUGUCUGUUUAUAGUUACAUUUAAUGUUGUGGAAUGUUUGUGAAACGAGUUCCUGUUCUCGCUUACAUUAU